AGAGUUUGAUCCUGGCUCAGAACGAACGCUGGCGGCACGUUUUAAGCAUGCAAGUCGAACGGUAGAGAAGUGCUUGCACUUCUUGAGAGUGGCGAACGGGUGAGUAACACGUAGAUGAUCUACCUUGUAGUUGGGGAUAGCCUAUGGAAACAUAGGGUAAUACCGAAUAAGCUCUUAUCUCUUUGGAGAUUAGAGGAAAAGUGCGUUUGCACUGCUAUUAGAUGAGUCUGCGCCUGAUUAGCUUGUUGGUGGGGUAAGGGCCUACCAAGGCGACGAUCAGUAGCCGGCCUGAGAGGGUGACCGGCCACAUUGGGACUGAGACACGGCCCAGACUCCUACGGGAGGCAGCAGCUAAGAAUCUUCCGCAAUGGACGAAAGUCUGACGGAGCGAUGCCGCGUGUACGAAGAAUGUCGAGAGAUUGUAAAGUACUUUUCUAUAUGAAGAAUAACGAUGUCAGGAAAUGGGCGUUGGAUGACGGUAAUAUAGGAAUAAGCACCGGCCAAUUACGUGCCAGCAGCCGCGGUAACACGUAAGGUGCGAGCGUUGUUCGGAAUUAUUGGGCGUAAAGGGCUUGUAGGCGGUUUGGAAAGUCUGAAGUAAAAGAUCACAGCUUAACUGUGGGAGUGCUUCGGAAACUAUCAAACUAGAAUCCGAGAGGGGAAGGUAGAAUUCCUGGUGUAGGGGUGAAAUCUGUUGAUAUCAGGAAGAAUACCAGAGGCGAAGGCGACCUUCUGGCUCUGGAUUGACGCUGAGGAGCGAAAGCGUAGGUAGCGAACAGGAUUAGAUACCCUGGUAGUCUACGCCGUAAACGAUGUACACUUGGUGGUGGGCUUAAGCUCGCUGCCGAAGCUAACGCGUUAAGUGUACCGCCUGGGGAGUAUGCCGGCAACGGUGAAACUCAAAGGAAUUGACGGGGGCCCGCACAAGCGGUGGAGCAUGUGGUUUAAUUCGACGAUACGCGAGGAACCUUACCAGGGUUUGACAUAUAUAGGACCGCACUAGAGAUAGUGUUUUCACUUCGGUGACUUAUAUACAGGUGCUGCAUGGUUGUCGUCAGCUCGUGCCGUGAGGUGUUGGGUUAAGUCCCGCAACGAGCGCAACCCCUAUUGUCUGUUGCCAGCAUUAAGUUGGGGACUCAGGCAAGACUGCCGGUGACAAACCGGAGGAAGGUGGGGACGACGUCAAAUCAUCAUGCCCCUUAUAUCCUGGGCUACACACGUGCUACAAUGGCUUGUACAAUGCGUUGCGAAAUUGUGAAAUGGAGCUAACCGCAAAAAGCAAGUCUCAGUUCGGAUUGAUGUCUGAAACUCGACUUCAUGAAGGUGGAAUCGCUAGUAAUCGCAUAUCAGAAUGAUGCGGUGAAUACGUUCCCGGGCCUUGUACACACCGCCCGUCACACCACCCGAGUUGGAGGUACCCGAAGCCACUAGUCUAACCUUUUAGGAGGACGGUGUCGAAGGUAUGUUCGGUGAGGGGGGUGAAGUCGAAACAAGGUA
rnacentral:rRNA from 1 species